rnacentral:rRNA from 1 species
CCGUCUUGAAACACGGACCAAGGAGUCUAACAUGUUCGCAAGUCAUGGGGUUGCACGAAACCCAAAGGCACAAUGAAAGUGAAGGCAGCCUCGGGUUUGCCUAGGUAGGAUCCUUCCGUGUCGGGCGGGAGGCGCACUACCGGCCCGUCUCGUCUGCAUCGUCAGAGAGGCGGAGCAAGAGCGUACACGUUGGGACCCGAAAGAUGGUGAACUAUGCUUGAGUAGGACGAAGCCAGAGGAAACUCUGGUGGAGGUCCGUAGCGAUUCUGACGUGCAAAUCGAUCGUCAAACUUGAGUAUAGGGGCGAAAGACUAAUCGAACCAUCUAGUAGCUGGUUCCUUCCGA